ACUUUAUAUUUGUUUUUAUAUUAACAUUUUUUGGUUAUAAUAUGUUGUAUUUUUAUAAAUAUUUUGUUGGGGCGACAAGAAAAUUUAUUUAACUUUUUUUUAUUAAUUUCAUUAAUUAAUGUAUUAAUGAUCCUAUAUUAUGGAUAAUUAGAAUAAGU
rnacentral:rRNA from 1 species